rnacentral:rRNA from 1 species
CCUACGUGUGGCAGCAGUGAGGAAUAUUGGUCAAUGGGCGCGAGCCUGAACCAGCCAAGUAGCGUGAAGGAUGACUGCCCUACGGGUUGUAAACUUCUUUUAUAAAGGAAUAAAGUGAGGCACGUGUGCCUUUUUGUAUGUACUUUAUGAAUAAGGAUCGGCUAACUCCGUGCCAGCAGCCUCGGUAAUACGGAGGAUCCGAGCGUUAUCCGGAUUUAUUGGGUUUAAAGGGAGCGUAGAUGGGUGGUUAAGUCAGUUGUGAAAGUUUGCGGAUCAACCGUAAAAUUGCAAGUGAUACUGGCAGUCUUGAGGACAGUUGAGGUAGGCAGAAUUCGUGGUGUAGCGGUGAAAUGCUUAGAGAUCACGAAGAACUGCGAUUGCGAAGGCAGCUUACUAAACUGCAACUGACAGUGAUGCUCGAAAGUGUGGGUAUCAAACAGGAUUAGAUACCCGAGUAGUC